rnacentral:rRNA from 1 species
UACGUAGGGUGCAAGCGUUAAUCGGAAUCACUGGGCGUAAAGGGCGCGUAGGCGGCCUUGCAAGUCGGUUGGUGAAAGCCCGGGGCUCAACCCCGGAGGUGCGGCCGAGACUGCAGGGCUGGAGGCCGGAAGAGGAGGGUGGAAUACCCAGUGUAGAGGUGAAAUUCGUAGAUAUUGGGUGGAACACCGGUGGCGAAAGCGGCUCUCUGGUCCGGACCUGAUGCUGAGGCGCGAAAGCGUGGGGAGCAAACAGG